GACGAGGGGUCCUAGCGUUGUUCGGAAUCACUGGGCGUAAAGCGUAUGUAGGCGGCUUUUCAAGUCAGGUGUGAAAUCCCAUGGCUUAACCAUGGAACUGCAUUUGAAACUGUAAAGCUUGAGUAUUGGAGAGGAUGGUAGAAUUCCUGGUGUAGUGGUGAAAUACGUAGAUAUUGGGAAGAACACCGGUGGCGAAGGCGGCUCACUGGCCCGUAACUGACGCUCAUGCACGACAGCGUGGGGAUCAAACAGG
rnacentral:rRNA from 1 species